rnacentral:lncRNA from 1 species
UCCAAAAGAGUUUCGUUUUUCUUAUAUUUGAAAAGUCACAGCCUUCGCAGAAGUACUCUGCGUUUGACGUAAACAUUUUUAAGAAAUUUGUCAACGAAAAAUUCAAAUAGCAGCCUGAAGAAAUAACAAAGAAAUUCAAAAGUUAGAUAAGCGUCGUGGAGCUUGAAUGCUGCACGGCACCUAUUUCUUUUGUUGGCUUAACAAAUCUACACAUUUCUUAUCAACGCGCUUCAGCUGCUUAAAAGCUGGAAGAAAUAGAACAUUUGAGCUGCAAUUGCGUUAUUAUAAUAUGUAAUGGAAGAGUUUUUGUCAGCGUACACUUUGUAAUAUUUACAUAACCUCUAUACACACGUACAUAUGUGCUAAAGCGUGUGUAGCAUAUGCGUAGGCGCUCUUCUAAGGACUCAAAAACAGGCGAAUGUCAUGAAACAUUUUCCGUUGAAAUAACAGAAAAAAAAAUAUUUUAAGAAGAAAAUGUCAAAAGUUACACCGAAAGCGGAGAGUGAAGCAGUCAGCACGUCAGAUAGUCAGGGGUGGUAGAGAUAAAAAGUCAAAAGCUGAUAUCCUUUCUUAAUUUAGUUUUUGUAUGUAUUUGUCAAAAUUUCUUCAUUCGCUUUGUACUCUACUAAUAGAGAAAAUAUAUCAAUGUAAGUGCUGUUGACAUGUGUGUGUGCGCUUACGUGUA